GCGACGUUCAACCGCAAAAGAAGCAGAGGGGGCUUAGUGGUGGGGUGACUGCGUACCUUUUGUAUAAUGGGUCAGCGACUUAUAUUCUGUAGCAAGGUUAACCGAAUAGGGGAGCCGGAGGGAAACCGAGUCUUAACCGGGCGUUAAGUUGCAGGGUAUAGACCCGAAACCCGGUGAUCUAGCCAUGGGCAGGUUGAAGGUUGGGUAACACUAACUGGAGGACCGAACCGACUAAUGUUGAAAAAUUAGCGGAUGACCUGUGGCUGGGGGUGAAAGGCCAAUCAAACCGGGAGAUAGCUGGUUCUCCCCGAAAGCUAUUUAGGUAGCGCCUCGUGAAUUCAUCUCCGGGGGUAGAGCACUGUUUCGGCUAGGGGGCCAUCCCGGCUUACCAACCCGAUGCAAACUGCGAAUACCGGAGAAUGUUAUCACGGGAGACACACGGCGGGUGCUAACGUCCGUCGUGAAGAGGGAAACAACCCAGACCGCCAGCUAAGGUCCCAAAGUCAUGGUUAAGUGGGAAACGAUGUGGGAAGGCCCAGACAGCCAGGAUGUUGGCUUAGAAGCAGCCAUCAUUUAAAGAAAGCGUAAUAGCUCACUGGUCGAGUCGGCCUGCGCGGAAGAUGUAACGGGGCUAAACCAU
rnacentral:rRNA from 1 species